rnacentral:sRNA from 1 species
AAUCACCUGGUCAGGCCCACCGACGUUGGGA